rnacentral:rRNA from 1 species
UACGUAGGGUGCAAGCGUUGUCCGGAAUUAUUGGGCGUAAAGAGCUCGUAGGCGGUCUGUCGCGUCUGCUGUGAAAACUCAGGGCUUAACCCUGAGCUUGCAGUGGGUACGGGCAGACUAGAGUGCGGUAGGGGAGACUGGAAUUCCUGGUGUAGCGGUGAAAUGCGCAGAUAUCAGGAGGAACACCGGUGGCGAAGGCGGGUCUCUGGGCCGUAACUGACGCUGAGGAGCGAAAGCGUGGGGAGCGAGCAGG